GACGAACGCUGGCGGCGGGCUUAACACAUGCAAGUCGAACGGAAAGGCCCUGCUGUUGUGGGGUGCUCGGGUGGCGAACGGGUGGGUGACACGUGAGUAGCCUGCCCCUUGCUUUGGGAGAACUUCUGGUAACUAGGGCUAAUACCGGAGAGUAGCUCCGGCUGCACGGUGGGGGGUGGAAAGUUGCGUCGGUUGGGGAUGGACUCGCGGCUGAUCAGCUUGUUGGUGGGGGAGUGGCUUACCAAGGCGUUGACGGGCAGCCGGCCUGUGAGGGUGACCAGCCACAUUGCGCCUGCGGUACGGCCCAGACUCCAACGGGGGACAGCAGUGGCGAAUCUUGCACAAUGGGCCGACGCCUAAUGAAGCAGCGCCGCGUGCGGAAUGUCGGCCUUCGGGUUGUAAACCGCGUUAGGCUGUGACGAAGGGUCAGUGACGGUAACGGGUAAAGAAGCACCGGCUAACUACGUG
rnacentral:rRNA from 1 species